UACGUAGGGUGCAAGCGUUGUCCGGAAUUAUUGGGCGUAAAGAGCUCGUAGGUGGCCUGUCGCGUCGGCUGUGAAAACUCGGGGCUCAACUCCGAGCUUGCAGUCGUUACGGGCAGGCUAGAGUUCGGCAGGGGAGACUGGAAUUCCUGGUGUAGCGGUGAAAUGCGCAGAUAUCAGGAGGAACACCAAUGGCGAAGGCAGCUCGCUGGGACGGUACUGACGCUGAGACGCGAAAGCGUGGGGAGCAAACAGG
rnacentral:rRNA from 1 species